UUUUCUUGCAGACUUUGAUUCUAAUCCAGGGCUGUCUGUCAGAGGUAUUAUUGGUAUUGUAAUGGCUUCAUGUUUGGUCCUCAUUAAUUCUUCUACUCCUAUGAAUGAAAGGUUACCUAGGAGGAAAAGGCCAUGAAGGCAAAAGUGAGAGUCAUUGCCCAAGAAAUUUGUAACUAUAUCCAGUCUCCUUCGGUUAAAAAUUACAGAAGAAAGUGAGCUAGCCUUGCUUACUUGUGUCAAUACUGCAUAAACAUUCUCUAAUCUCUCUCUUGUUAGAGAACUUCGCGGUCUAGGGAUGCAAACUCGCUAUUUCAGUUUACGAUAGAUCAAAGCCACUACCAAUAACUUUGAUUCCACAAAUAAGAUAGGUGAAGGUGGAUAUAGGCCGGUUUACAAGGCAGUUACUGAUUUGAACUUUCCUUCAACAACAUUUUAGCAACAUUGGACCAUGUAGCUAAUUUAGUCUGCAUGCAAGAGAGUAAUAAAAAGGGAAAUGCAAUACUUCCCUGAAGUUAUCUCACAGAUAUCUAUGUGAUUCAUAAUUUUUUUUUCUUCUUGAUUUUGGGGUGUAAUGUCAGAUGGUUCAGUAAUUGCAUUUAGGCAGCUCUCCUCUAAGUCGAAGCAAGGAAGCCAAGAAUUUGUAAACGAAAUAGGCAUGAUAUCUGCCUCACAACACCCAAAUCUUGUGAACCUUUAUGGCUGUUGUAUCAAAGGAAACCAGUCGUUGCUCAUAAACGAAUAUUUGGAAAACGAUAGUCUUGCCCAUGUGCUUUUUGGUAAAUGCUUCACCAACAUUUUGUAUUCCAUUUUAUACUAUUUCAAGAAUGAAUUGUGGGUCAUGAUGAACAACGGCUGAAUUUGGACUGGCCGACAAGGGAAAAGAUAUGCUUGGGGAUAGCAAGGGGAUUGGCAUAUCUUCAUGGGGAAUCAAGAUUGAAAAUUGUUUGUAGAGACAUAAAGGCAAGAAAUGUGCUGCUCGAUAAGUAUCUAAAUGCUAAGAUAUCUGACUUUGGUUUGGCUAAGCUGGAUGAAGAAGAGAACGCCCACAUCAGCACAAAAUAGCUGGAACAAGUAUAUACAAGACUCAACAUUCAGGUGCUGAUUUUUCUUCAGAGGAUGCAUGGCUCCUGAAUAUGCGAUGAAGGGUUGCUCAACUGAGGAAAAGCAACACCAGUUGCUGGAGUUUGAUUAUCUUUGCAAUUGGGAAAUCUUUUGGCUUCCUGCACAUCCUUUCUGGACAGUCUUUUCCUUUCAUUUUCAAGUUUCAUUAUCAUUUUCAAGGUAUGAGAUUCAAAGCCUUUGAGAAGCUUUCACUGGACAGCCAGCUUCAAUAUUCUCUCAGGCCAGUCAGGUCCAAGGCAGCAUAUCAGUUGAUGGGCCAUGGAUGGAUUCCUCAUUUUCCUUAAAUAUCAGAGAAGACUCAAGGAAGCAAGUUGCUUACCAGGACUGGAACAUGGGAGGAUGAGUCUACCCCAAUCUAACCCAACCCAAAUCCAACUCAAAAAAAUGCAAAAGCUUUGGUUGACUGACAAUGAAAACAUGAGAUUCCUGUGUGAAUGCAGUGGCUCGAGUCAACACUGAGACGAGGAUUCAAGUUAUAUACUAGAAGAAGUAGAAGCAGAAGUAACCAUUUUGUUAUUCCCUUACUGUAGAAAUAUAAUCAAAGUUUGGAAUAAUUUUUUUUUUCUCUGAUUCCCUUAUUUUUCAAACCUUGGAAAGGAGAUGUCGUUAAACAUGCAACUGUCACUCAUCAUGAAAAUGACAGUUUAGAAGUGACCUUGGGACAGGCAUGUAAAUCUCGAGAUAGUUAGGGUUACGUUAAAGAUUUAUAAUAUCUUUAACGUUAAACAUGUAAAUUCAAACAUGUUUGCCCAAGUGGGUAUUAUUAUAAUAUCUAUAUUAUUGAAUGAAACCAUUUAUGACAAA